rnacentral:rRNA from 1 species
GACGAACGCUGGCGGCGUGCUUAACACAUGCAAGUCGAACGGAGUGGCGAACGGGUGAGUAACACGUGGGUGACCUGCCCUGCACUUCGGGAUAAGCCUGGGAAACUGGGUCUAAUCCCGGAUAGUGUGGGAUGGGCCCGCGGCUAGUCAGCUUGUUGGGGGGGUACUGGCCUACCAAGUAGGCGACGGGUAGCCGGCCUGAGAGGGUGGACGGCCACCUGGGUACUGAGGCACGGCCCAGACUCCUACGGGAGGCAGCAGUGGGGAAUAUUGCACAACGGGCGGAAGCCUGAUGCAGCGACGCCGCGUUGGGGAUGACUGCCUUCGGGUUGUAAACUCCUUUCACCAUCGACGCGGUAGAUGGAGAAGAAGCACCGGCUAACUACGUGCCAGCAGCCGCGGUAAUAC